rnacentral:pre_miRNA from 1 species
UAAAUACUCCCUCUGUCUCAAAAUUCUUGUCUUAGAUUUGUCACGUUUCAGUAUUUAGAUACAUUCAUUUCUAAACAAACCUAAGACAAGAUUAUUGAGACGGAGGGAGUAUAAG